ACUACGAUACAUUUAAUCGCAAGUUACUUUUCAACGUGGUCACUUCUCGCUGAAAGGGUUUUUAACGCUCUCCAGCUCCUGCAGCCUUAACAUGUGCAAAAACGCAUCUCUUCCCAUUUUCAACGGAGAUAAAGUCGGUAUUGCCAAUGUGCUGCCCUCACCUGUCAGAAAUAGAAGUACUGAAAACUGAAGUGUUUCUCUGAUUCCAGUUCUGUGCUAUUUUCUCAGCUAAAAGGUCCAGCUGGAGAGUUACAUUGAAGGACAAUGAAAUUGGUUCAGAGGUUCUCAGGUAUUUCCUGACUCAGUGGACUUCCCAGCUGCUGGGUGUGUCGUCCAUCACCACAUUGAAGAUGGUUGGUCAGCCAGAGAGACAAAGGG